UAGCUCAAGUGGUAGAGUACUUGUUUAGCAAGCAUGAGGCUCUGAGUUCAAGCCUCAG
rnacentral:tRNA from 1 species